GACGAACGCUGGCGGCGUGCCUAAUACAUGCAAGUGGGACGCAAGGAAACACACUGUGCUUGCACACCGUGCUUUCUUGAGUCGCGAACGGGUGAGUAACGCGUAGGUAACCUGCCUAUUAGCGGGGGAUAACUAUUGGAAACGAUAGCUAAUACCGCAUAAUAUUAAUUAUUGCAUGAUAAUUGAUUGAAAGAUGCAAGCGCAUCACUAGUAGAUGGACCUGCGUUGUAUUAGCUAGUUGGUAAGGUAAGAGCUUACCAAGGCGACGAUACAUAGCCGACCUGAGAGGGUGAUCGGCCACACUGGGACUGAGACACGGCCCAGACUCCUACGGGAGGCAGCAGUAGGGAAUCUUCGGCAAUGGACGAAAGUCUGACCGAGCAACGCCGCGUGAGUGAAGAAGGUUUUCGGAUCGUAAAGCUCUGUUGUAAGUCAAGAACGUGUGUGAGAGUGGAA
rnacentral:rRNA from 1 species